UGAUGACAUCACGCUCCUCCUUGUUCUUUCUCCUCUCACUCUCUUCAGAAGCUUGCUUAGCUUAGUCGUUAAUCUUGGAACCCUAAUCUCGUUGAUUUCGAAAUCUGUGGAGUCUUUUGUUCGAUCAAAAUCGGUAAGUCUUCAAAAGUCUUCAGCUUUUUCCGUUUGGUUCUGAUGGGUCGUUAGUCUAAUUCAAUGGAUUCUUCUCCGGUUAAGUAACAACUUGAUCGACAAGUCCGGGAUCGCCUGCUCUCUAUCCAAAGCAACGAUCUUCUGCUAGUCUGGCUCGCUUCAAGAUGAAGACAAGCACUCAUAAUACUAUUAGUUUCUUUUAACACAAAUCUUUUUUAAACUUUUUUGAAUCACAGAUUUCAUAUACAAAGGCUGGCUGUAAACAAGUAUUUUUUCGAAUAAAUUUUACAUUUUAUUCAAAAAAAAAAAAAAGUAAUAAAAAUGAAAUCUGUUGUCUUUUAGGUUUAGAAGAGUUUACAAAGACCAAUCUUGAAAUGCAUGGAUGAUUUUCCCAGUUUUGAUUUGAGAAUUUGGGUUUGUUGUUAGGGGAAUGCCUGAGGUUCUUAUUGAUAGCCUAAUUUCACAGUGAAGAUAACACUUUUGCAAAAAAAAAGUCUUGCUUUGUACCUCACUUUUGCUAACUCAUUCUCACCACAAGAGUUAUAAGAUUACAUUCGUGGUCUCGCUCAUAAAGUCUUGCUAACAAGAUGUUCCAAGAUGCACAAGUGUAUCUUUCCACCGCCAACAGACUUGAAUUCUUCGAUCAAACCAAGGCUUUUCGUUGAUACUUUCAGGGGAGUCGAGCUCAGUUGGAUCCUCCGUUCUUGUGAAAGCGAUAGUAACAGUGGAGGAGGACCAUCAGAAGUUCACUAUUAUGAACUUACCUUCCCCAAGAAAGACCAGGACAUAGUCAUUGGUUCUUACUUGCAAUUUGUUUCCCGAGAAGCCGCAUCUACCAUGGAAAGGCCGAAAACAAUUGAGAUUUUGUUGUGGUCUUGUGGAGGAUAUAAAUUACCUAAGCAAGUUCAUGGGUACUGAGCUGGAAGAUGAUGAUUCAAAGGUAACACUCUCGGGCUUACUUGAUUUUAUGGAUCGGGGUUGGUCAAACUGUGGUGGUGACCAGAGGAUCAUCAUCUUCACAGCAAAGACCAGGACGCUUGCAUAUUCAUAUCCACGUGCCUCAGCCUUACUGCACACCUGGUGCCUUUGAAAUUCUGGUUUCAAACUAUCUCAAAAUCUCUACCCAUAAACUCUUAAACAGAUCAAUGAGUUAUUGCUGGAAACUGAAGUUAGUCCUGCUGAGGUUGUUGGGCAGCUGACUGGUAAAAAAUCUGUGGACCAAAAACUAGAAGGGUUGAUUGAGUUAUUGCAGCCAAGAAGACGAAAAUGGACGACACUCAAAUGGUUGGUGGAAGUUUAGGUUAGUCUUCUUUUGAUGAUGGUUGACGUGCUAUGGUAGAAUAUAUGACUUGCUAGUUUGAGUCUUAUUUUGAUCCUGAAUCUUGCCUUGGAGGACUAUAUGGAGAUGUGUAUUGUGCUAUCUCAUACUGCGGUUUCAGGAUUUCUUUUGUCGUAGGACUGUUAGGUCUGUGUGUUUUGUGGUUCGAAUGACACUAAGCUAGAGGGUAGAGUGGUUUGUGAUUUUGUAAAAAAGUCUCUAAUUCGAUCAUAUAAAUAUCAAAUUAUGUUCUGAA